AUCCAUCUAUCACACGUGUAGACAAAGGGGGACUCCACAACACAAAGCUGGAUGUGCCCUCUCAAAACUUUUUUUUCUCCUCCGCGACGCACGGCGACGCGCGCAGAGCACGCCGCCCCCCAGGUGGAUUCAAACUCCAGAUUAACCAGCAGAGCGCUUUCUGCCAUGGGAGGUACAGGAAAUACAAAUGUGUGGAAAUCAAAUGGAAGACGUACGGAGUCACCUAUCAAGCAGCCUUUAAAACGAGGAGGAGGAGGAGGAUUAAGAGGCUGAACUGUUUUCUUCUGGAGAAGGUGAAGAUUCAGGGAUUUAAACUCGAGCAGCAUCAGUGCCAGGCGGGAUGUCUCCUCGGCACACUCGGAAAUCGAAAAGUCAUGGAGACACUUUGAGGAUUAUAAAAAAAAGUGCAGUGUGUCUUUCCACAAGACACGUCGCGGGCCGGAAUCACUGGAACAGGAGGAUAUAUCAUGUCUGAUCCCAUCGACGGCCCUCAGCCGGGGUAGGGAGUGCGGGAGCAGUGAGGUCUGGGAGAUCACGACCUUAAUUCUCUCUAAGACAGACAGUUUAAUUAACACUGGAAUCCUCACCGGCUCCAGACCUCGGCGAUGGGAAUGUUCGGGGGAAUUGGAUUGCCAAGACUCCACCAGGAGCAAAGGUGAAGAGCUACUGAAUAUACUGGAAAGGAAGAUAUGAAACUGUUAAAUGUGAAGGGAAAUUGCAACAGUGAGUUGCCUCUGCAGACACGUCAUUAUGCAUUUGACCCUGUGCGGUUUUCAGACACUCAUAUUUUGUCUGAAAGUUCAAAAUGGUUCUAUCACAUCAUUAGUGUACAUUGUUUGCAGAAUGAAAAAAAAGUAGUGUCAUUAAUUGAAUAAUCAAUGUGUGAGUAUGAUAUAGCUGAGCACAGUUUGAGACUCUCACUCACUCUGAAUUGUCAGCAUGUUUGACAAAUAAUCAUUCAUAAGCUCAUGCAACAUUACAGUGUUGGAAGUCUUUGACAUUUCUAAAGGGUUUAAGUUUUGAACACAGUUUCUCUAUCUGCUUCAUUAAUCAACACUUUCAAAUAAACUUUUUGUUUGUGUCACUGCCUUCACCUCAAAACCAAAAGUAUGUCAGUGUGAGGUUGGACAUAGUUCAAAAAUACAAGUGUUUUGGAUCACGUGUUGUACAUUUUUCUGAAAAAGUAUUCGGAGAAAGGUUGAAUUUAAGGUGAUUGAACAGAAAGAAACUGCAACACAGCAAAUAGUAGAUAGCAAUAUAUGCAAGAAUCAAAGGGGCGAACACACACACACACACACACACACACACACACACACAAACCUUCCCUUUGAACAGUGCAGUGCUCGCCCUAAAGCUCAAACGCUAGAUUACAGUUUGUAGCACCUGCAUGUUUUAGUGAGUCUGCUGUCGGGGGGGAUUUCCAACUCUGCAUGUGAAUAUUCAGAGGUGAGCCUUACCGGCACAGACCUUCCUCUCUUGUCAUGUGCCAAUAACAAGCACCUGAUUGACUGUUUGCUCUCAGCACAGAAGAAAGUUUUACUUUGCGUGCCUCAGUUCUUUCAACAGAAAACAGCUUCUUACUGCAUGAGGAUCAACAGGACUUAAAUGUUAUUAUAUGACACAAACCAAAUGUGCAAGUCUUAGCAAUGCUGGUUAGGUGCAGGUGUGUAUGCAGACUGACAGGGAUAAGUUACUGCAACAGUAACACAUCAAGAUGAGGCCAGAUUUAGCCAUGUGUUUUGAAGAAGAUGUUUUCGUGUGUGUGUAUGUGUCUGUAUGUGUGUGUGUGUGCAUGUGUAUUAGUAGUUUGGACCCUGCUGAGGUGACAGAUGUUCAUGGCAGAGGUGGGCAUGGAUGAGACGCGAUGUCCAAAUUAAUCCACUGGUGUGUGAGGAGGAGUACUCUCCUCGAUGGAAGUCAGACAAGCUGCCCUUCAACUGUCUGUGCUGUCUUCACGACAUUGUGUAUGUGUGUGUGCGUGUGUGUGUGUGUGUGUGUGUGUGUGUGUGUGUGUGUGUAUAUGUGUGUGUGUGUGUGUGUGUAUGUGCUGCCAUGAUUAAGUGCUGGCAGGAAAGACUUCCACCUUCAGCCAUGAAGUGAUUUGAGUUUCCCAAGGCUUCAGCAGAUGUCCAAACCCCAGAAUUCAGCCUUUGCAUCCUUGUGUCUUUUUGUGUCACAUAUCUAUGAGCUCCUAUUGCACUGCUAUAUUCUUCCUUUCCUCCUUUCUGCACUCAUUUUCAAACUGAAGCAGCGGCUCAUUUAUUCUAACUGACUUUGCAACAAUUUGCAGGAGAACACACCUAAUCAAAACCGUAUCACUAAUCUGAACAAGAACCUCAGAAGAAUUUCCCAAAGAGGCAGCAAAACCACACACAUGCCUGAACACACACCCACACACACACCACAGACUGUUGAUGUUUACUAAGUACGGUGCAGAUAAACAUGCGUGUACCUUUGCACACUCUGAAGGACAAGGAAGUGUUGGUUAGCACGAUAUGCAAAAUCUAACCUUUUAGGAUGAUGGAAGAGAAACACACACACGGUUUCUCACGGUUACAUGUCAGCUGCUUACUUACAGAAUUAUUACCAUUAAAAAGCAGAAGCACUAACUGCUCCUUUUCUUAUGUAAAGGGAGAAAUGAAACUUGUGAAAUCUGUUGUUUAGAAGAAGACAUUAUUUUAAAGUUUGUAAACAUUUGGGAUGAUCAGCCAAAAAUGUUGCCAUGAUUUUAAUUUGAAUCAGGAAUGCUUAAUCUCAAAAACUGUACAUUUGUGACACUUUAAAUGAAUGUUGUAAUGUCUGUGCACCAUUGAUAAUGAUGAUUAUUAUAAAAAUAAGUAUUUGAUUAGAUAAAGAAUCUGAGUUUAACACAACUCAGAUAAGUUAAAAUAAGGGAAAUAGGGGCUGAGCUGUAGGACUAAUGCUGAACCCACAUGAACACGGUAUUCAACUUUGUCUGCUGAGCAAGUCAGGCCUCGGCUGCGUGUUUUAAUGAGCUGUAAGUGUUUCUGUAGUCUGCUCAAUGAAAGCAAUCAAAGGCAAGCAAUUACAAGAUCUUGGUCACCAGCCCUGGGGGCUCAACUUCAGACUGGGAAACGCUCGCGCACACAUGCACUGACAAACACACAAACUAACGCAGACGCACAUUAUAUACAGACAGUCACCCACACAUUUCCUGUGUGUUUCAUGUAAGACGGGCUUUUCUUGUUUCUCUUGUGUUUGGAGAGGAAGUGCGGGUCUAAUGACUUUUCCUAUGCGUCACGUACACCCCACACGCGGGAGGCAGACAGCGGCUCUGCACGUGUGUGCAUGUGAGAACCUUUAUGCAUAUAUGUAUGAGCCUGUGGAGGGCUCCACACAUGCAGGUUUUGUUAUGCACUUGUUGGACGCUUCAUUUGUAUUUACGAGUUUUUGCUUUUGAGACGCUUCACACUGUGUUUGUUUUUGGUGAGAGAAAGUUAUGCAUGUUUUUUUGUGUCUUCAUAGAAAAUGUUUACACUAAGUCACCGUUGAGUAUUUUUUUAACGGGAACAAUACGUUUGUCUCAGAGGGAUUUAGCACAUUUGCUUGUUGUUCCAGUUUCUGCCUUUGAUGUGACCAUCUGUGCUUGUGAGACACUUCUGUAUGUGCUUGUACCGAAGUGAGACCGCACACUACUGUAUGUGGUGCACUGUUUGUUGUUGCAAGUUCUUCUCGCUCGCUUCUCGUAAACACCACUACCACUGAGACCUUAUGCAGUUUGUAAACUUUUUUACAUUUUUUUGGACCACUCACAACUCCUCUGUAUCGAUCGUAGUCAAUAUUUCAUUCCUUCUGAGAAUUUGUGUCUACCAAGCUAAAAUUCGAGUUAUAAUUUGUUGCAGUAAUGUAUCAUAUAUUUAUGACACUUGGUUUUUUCCAGCAUUGUCCCAUAGCAUGAUUUCAAGCUUGGAAAGAGAAUUAUUUCCAAAACCAUCAAUGAGCUCUCAAAGUAUGUUGUUCUUUAUUCUGAAAAAUAAAAAUUUCAUGAGCAUUUUCAAGGUUUGAAUAU